GAUGAACGCUGGCGGCGUGCCUAAUACAUGCAAGUCGAGCGAACAGACGAGGAGCUUGCUCCUCUGAUGUUAGCGGCGGACGGGUGAGUAACACGUGGAUAACCUACCUAUAAGACUGGGAUAACUUCGGGAAACCGGAGCUAAUACCGGAUAACAUGUUGAACCGCAUGGUUCAACAGUGAAAGACGGUCUUGCUGUCACUUAUAGAUGGAUCCGCGCCGCAUUAGCUAGUUGGUAAGGUAAUGGCUUACCAAGGCAACGAUGCGUAGCCGACCUGAGAGGGUGAUCGGCCACACUGGAACUGAGACACGGUCCAGACUCCUACGGGAGGCAGCAGUAGGGAAUCUUCCGCAAUGGGCGAAAGCCUGACGGAGCAACGCCGCGUGAGUGAAGAAGGUCUUCGGAUCGUAAAACUCUGUUAUUAGGGAAGAACAAAUGUGUAAGUAACUAUGCACGUCUUGACGGUACCUAAUCAGAAAGCCACGGCUAACUACGUG
rnacentral:rRNA from 1 species